CCCUCAAGGGACUUCUUGCAAAGCCUGAUGCUUUUCAUGAAUGUGACAUGCUUCCUCCUCCAACUUGUCUGGGCUUCCCCAUCUGGAGAGAAAAUCAGCUAUGAAAUUAUCUUUGCCUGGGUGGUGUAUAACUGUAAACUUGAAGGGCUGCAAUGCCAAGGCCCGGUGAGUGAUCUGGGAGUUUUCACUUUGUUUCCAAGUUAACCAUUGAAGUGGGGUGUGAUCCGUCACUACCACGAAUUCUCAUCCCAUCAGGUAAUAUUUAAAAUACUCUAUGGCCCAACGUAUUGCCAGGCACUCCCUCUUGACCAUGGCAUACCUGAUGCGACUGAGCUUCCGACUGGUGAAGGUGAUCGGGUGCUCUUCUUCCCUGCAUCUUUGAAGUAAAUCCACCCCUAGUGCGUGGCCUGUUGCAUCUGUUUGUCAAAAUUAGGGGGUGUACACUAUGACAUCGUGAUGUAUCGCCUCCUUCAAUUCUUUGAAGCUCCUUCUCAUGUCUAGUGUCCAUUUCAACAGCACUGCAGGCCCCCCUCCCAGCGCAUCUGUGAGGGGUGUGGAGAGACUUGCAAAAUGUGGUAUAAACCAUUGAUAAUAAUGAGUCCCAAGAAGGAGCGUAGCUGUUUGCAGGUAUGAGGUUCCUGAAAUCGUCUUAUGGCUUCGAUCUCGUCGGUCAGGGGGCGUAUUGUUCCCCUGCCUACCCGAAACCCUAGGUAUGCCAUUUCUCACCCUGCUAACUUGCAUUUCUUGGAAUUGGCAGUCAGACCCGCUGCUUGGAAUUCUCCCAGGACAGCUUUCAGGGCUUCAAGGUGCUGGUGCCAACUGGGAGUAAAUAUAAUGAUAUCAUCGAUAUAUGCUGCUGCAUACGAUGUGUGCAGUGCAAGCAAGGUGUCCAUCAGCCUCUGGAAGGUGGCUGCUGCUCCGUUUAGGCCAAAGGGCAUACAUAUAAACUCAAACCCCAAGAGGUUCCAAAAGCGGUCUUGGUGCUAUCCACAGGGCGCAUUGGGAUUUGCCAGUACCCUUUGGCCAGGUUGAGAGUAGAUAUGUACCGUGCUUCGCCGAUCCUCUCAAUGUGGUGGGUAAUGUCGAAGGAAAGGUGUCGAAGGUCAUCAAGGCAUUUAGCUUCCUAAAGUCUACACACAGAUGCAGUGACCCAUCGGGUUUGGCCACCAGCACAAUGGGGCUACGCCAAGGGCUCCGGGAUGGUUGUAUAAUUCCCUGUCUCUGCAUCUUCUUUAUCUCCUGUCGUAUUUCCUGCUGCCAAUGCUGGGGUAUCGGCCUCCACCUUUCCCUAACCAGCGCACCAGGGGGAGUUCUGAUCUCACGUUCAAUUCCCAUCACUCAUCCCGGGGUUUCUUGGAACACUGCCCAGAAAUCCUCUAAGUCCAACAGCUCCUGUUGUUGCUGACUAUCCAGCUCUUUCCUUGUUUGCACUGACUCUUCUCCUGUGGAUUCACUUAACUCGAGGCUGGACAGUCCUAGGACUUUCCCCACCUCCUCUUCUUGUGCCAUCCAGCCCUGUGGGGUUUUCUACUCCUUAAGAAGGUUCACAUGAUAAAUUUGGUGUUCCCGGCUGUGGCCUGGCUUAAGCAAUUCAUAAUCUACUGGACCCACUUGUCGAACUACUGUAAACGGGCCUUGCCACAUUGUGAGAUGCUUGCUCGAGGAUGCCGGAAGCGACACCAAAAACAUAUCUCUGGGCUGGGAGGUCUGGGCUCUUGUCUUCUUAUUAUAGUGGGUUUUUUGUUGCUCUUGAGCGGCCCUCAAAUUUUGGCCCACGAUCCGUUGGGCCUUGGUGAUCCGGUCCUGCAAUUCUUGGCGGUAUCUUUCCACAGAUAUUCCUAACCCUACCAGCCAUUCCCAUUCUUCCCUGAUGACCUGUAACAAACCCCAAGGGUUGUGGCCGUACACUAACUGGAACAGGAAAUACUGCGUUGACUCUUGGGGGGCAUCCCUCAAGGCAAACAACAACAGUGUUAAGAUGGUAUCCCACCUCUGGGGGUUUUCCUCCGAGAACCGCUUGAGCAACCGCUUGAUCAUCACAUUUAAUCUCUCCACUAGACUGUUCGUCUGGGGAUGGUACAGUGAUGUCUUUAACUGGGUGAUGCUAAGAGUUUUACACAGGGCUUUCAUCAUGCCAGACAUGAAAUUCGUCCCCUGGUCAGUGAGUAUUUCACGUGGUAUGCCAACCUGUGCUAUCCAUUUAAGCAGUUCUUCUGCUACUCGCGUUGCUGUAAUAGACCUAAGUAGGACAGCCUCCGGGAACUGGGUGGCAUAAUCCACUAAAACCAAUAUAUAUUGAUAACCAUUGUGUGACUUCGGGAGAGGUCCCACUAUGUCCAGCACAGUUUGGGAGAAUGAUGUCUCUAUUAUCGGCAUAGGGUGCAAUGGCACCCUAGGUGGUCUCCACUCCUGAGCCCUUUGGCACUCUGGGCGAGCGGCCCCCAAACCUUCCACGUCUUCUUGCAGACGUGGCCAAAAGAAUUCUUGGACCAGCCUAGCCUGGGUCUUGGUGCAUCCCAAAUGGCCUCCUAUUGGGGAGUCAUGAGCCAAUCUCCACACGGAGAGGCCGAGUGAGGACAGGACCACUAACUGUCUCCCUUUCAAGGCGCCUGCCUUGACCCGUUGGACCCGCUAUAAUAACCCCCCGAUUACCUCAAAGUUGGAAUGACUUCGCGACGUUCCUUCCCCGGAGUCUUCAGUCCAUAGCUGCUGGAGUUCUGGGUCUUUUUGUUGGGCCUGACGGAACUGAGCUGCACUAACCCCCUGCUCCAGGUUAAUACUGCCUGAUGCCACUUCCCUCUGGUGAGAUGGGCUUUCACCAGCCCAGCCUUCUCCCCUCCGGAGCCGCUUCCUUUCUUCCUCUGUAGCUCGUACCCAUUCGAGCACUCUGUAGAAUGGUCCCCAUUCUCUUCUGAGGAUCAUUUCACAGGCUAAGGCAGGUGCCAGUCCAACCCGCAGUUCGCCACAGAACUCCAUCACCCUAAACGGCAGAUAACAACUCCGAAAUGCACCUCACCGCCCAGUAUACACGUCAUUGUUAUGGGUCCAGCCUCUUUCCCCCCUGUCCACGGGGCAAGAUCUGCGCAGAGUAGGGACUGGGAACACCCCAUAUCCAGGGUUUGCUCUGACUGCAUUGCCCCUGAUCCAGGCGGUUACCACGGGGCAGUUCCAUCUUCCUUCUUGUGCGAUGAGCCCAAAACUACAAUCCAUGGGCUCUCCCCUUUCCAUCUCUUUGCCUUUCUCACGGGGCGGGGUAUAUACAGCUGGCCCACAGCCCAGCUCACUCAGGCCCAAACCACAUUCCCGGGAGAUGUGCCCCGUUUGCCCACAGUGAUAGCACACCAAACCUCUCGAUGCCUCUCUUCAUGGACCCAGUCUGCCUUUCCCCUUCACUCGCCAGGCUCUCCUUCAAGGCCCAUGAGCCUCACCCGUACCCUCUCUCACUUUCUGAGUUAGUGAAGGCCACCAGCCAGGUGGAGGGCCUCCUCGCUGGUCUGCGGUUGGUGUCUCCAUACCCACCUCUGGGUGUCUUCUUCCAAGUCCCAGAAAAACUGCUCUAAUAAGAUCUGGUCCAUCACCCCCUCCCGGUCAAACCUUCUGGCCGGUAACCAUUUAUUUAGUGAAUCCCGAAGAGACUGCAACAAGCCGUGGGGCCGCUUAGCUUCUUUUGGUUUUUGUGCUCUACAUGCCUGCCUGUGACUUUCUGGGGAAAUUUCCAACUUAUAGAGGAUCGCCACCUUGACAGCCUCAUAAUCUCGGGUGUCCUCCCUCGACAGGGCCCAGUAGGCGGCUUGGGCCUGAUCUAUCACCAAGGUGCCUAACUGGUGGCCACACUGACUGUGAUCCAGCCCUGUCUGGAUAGCGGUCCUCUCAAAGGCUUUUACGUAAGCUUCAGGAUCAUCUUCCCAUGUCAUUCGGGGCAUCUUGAAUAGGGCAGCAUUGCGCUGUGUCCACUCUUGCUCGUGUGCCCCUUGCAACUGUUGCACCUUAAGCACUUGCCAUAUGGCCUGAAUAGCCUGUGUAAGUAGUUCCACGUGGGCUCUCGCUGGUGGUUGCAUCUCCACUUGCCCCCGGGUCAGGAUCUCUGUCCCACUGAUGCCGAAAAAUUCCCAGCCAAUGCACCACUGUGAUGAAACACAGUUAAUUACUCAAUUAAUUGAGUCUGCUCAGAUAUACUGUAAUUACAGCUUGUUGGAACGGCCUUGCUGUGUGUGUAUAGGUGCCCUUUGUGUUUGUGGAGAGUGUCAGGGGAGUCUUUGUCCCAGAGAACAUCUCUUUUCAGGACCUGUUUUCCAGAAUGGCUGGGUUCUAUUCUCUUCAUAGAUGAAACUGGUUAAACACAUGGUUUCUCUCUCUCUUUCCCCCCCAAAAAAACACUCAUAUGUGUUUAUAACAUUUAAUAGCAGGGUUGACUGAUUCAGCUUGCGCUGGAGGGAUAAUGCCCUGAGAUAAUAAGAUGGAGGAUUGCUGAGGAGUUGGACUUGUACUGGGAGUAGGACAAUUUGGUAAAAAACAGUGGUGCCCACUUUUGGCUCCAUGGGCCAGAGGAGUGAUGGCAAAAGUGUCUGUGCCCACAUCCAUUCCUUGAGCCUUCUGGAAUGCGUGUAGCUAAGGACUGCUUUGACUGCAGCUGUGCACCAGAGCAGGCCUCUCUACCCCAGCCACAGCCCCAGGUGUACUGGAUUGGGUGAUCCCUUCCCUAGUCCCACUUGCACUGGAUCUGACCCUCUGCCUCAGCCCCACCCAUGUGCACACCAAAUCAUAGAUUUCAUAGACAUUAGGGCUGGAAGGGACCUUGUGAGAUCAUUGGGUCCAGCCCCCUGCACAAAGGGCAGGAGUCAGCUAGGAUCAGAUGACCCCAGCAAGAUAAGCAUCUUGGUAUCCAGAGUAGGUUCUUGCACCACUUCUGGGGGGAGUCUAUUCCAGACUCUGGAGACUUGGGUUGUGUGUAGAUGAAACAAAAUUUCCCAUUUACAUCAAUGCAACUGCGUUUGUGUUUGCAUGACCCGGGAUUUCCCGUCACUUUAAAGUCCAUUUAGUACCUUAAACUAACACUACUCAGAGAUGUUUUAGUUUGCGGAGCUUUCCUGUUACCCUGCUUCAACUGAAUUUUGUUCAUGAAAAGAACCAGAGACUCCAAAAAUUUCUAAUUAAUCCCCUUCACCAUGAGGGGACACUGCGUUUCAGCCUCUAGCCAGCAGGUGUCGCUGUGUGUGUGUGUGUGUGUGUGUGUGUGUGUGUUUGUUUGUUUGUUUGUUCUGGGUUUUGGUUUUGUUUGUUUUUUUUUACCCUCCUUCACCCCUCCCUCCUUCCUCACAGCACCUCACAGUUCAGGUUGGAAUGUGUGCGCUUGCUUGCUGAGGCCAAUUUAUUAUUAUUUUAAAAUGGGGGAGAGAAAUAAUCAUAUAAUUUUCUACCCCCUCUUUAUUGUUCACCCCCAACCACCUAUAGCCUAUGUCCUCUCCCCCCUUGCCCAUGUACCCUCCUGUACUCCUGUCCCAUCAGGUACCCUCCAUUUGCAACCCCCACACUGUGAUGCCAAUGCAGUGGCCAUAGCUCCUGAUGACAGCUGCAGUAUCAACAAAAUGAGCCAUGAUCAAAAGUCCAAGGGCAGCAGGACACUGCCUGCCAGAUCUGACACCCAGGGUAUGCAGCAUCUUGGGUGAUAUUUAGAAAACUGCUGGGGGUGGAACUUGCUGGGGACGGCAACCAGCCCAGAGCCCAGUGGAAAGAGAAUGGAGUGAAGAUCCUGAACAAUUUUUUUACAUUUUGUAUUUAUUGUAUUGCAUUGUGAAGUUGCAUAUAGUUAUUGUUGCUGCAGCAUUUUCAGUAAAAUGUUUUAUUUUUGUUUUA